UACGGAGGGGGCAAGCGUUAUUCGGAAUUAUUGGGCGUAAAGGGCGCGUAGGCGGCUAGAUGUGUCAAAGGUGAAAUCCCUCGGCUCAACUGAGGAACUGCCUUUGAAACUGUCUGGCUUGAGGCCGGGAGAGGGUAGCGGAAUUCCCAGUGUAGCGGUGAAAUGCGUAGAUAUUGGGAGGAACACCAGUGGCGAAGGCGGCUACCUGGACCGGUUCUGACGCUGAGGCGCGAAGGCGUGGGUAGCAAACAGG
rnacentral:rRNA from 1 species